UUCAGUCAGUGUCUUAUAUCACCUUGGCUGCGGCAUGGGAAGAAGGGAUUGUCAAGUGUUAAGAGACAUCCUGACAGCAGAUCUAGGCAAGAAACAAGAAUCACGUGAACAAGGAAUGGCAAGAUUUACAUAUACAGAAUCAAACAAGCAGCACACAGCUCUUUUGGUUGGCCAAUAUAAUCCAACAGAGAAUGGAACACAGGAAGUCAUGUGAGGGCCUUUGUGUGUGAUGGUGGAACAAGCUUGGGGAGCGGCAGUGACCUGCAUCUUCCAAGUGGGAAGAACUCAGGUGACAAACAGCCCCAAUUUAUACCCUGGUACUGCUGGAAGGGGACCUACAGGAGACACAUGGAGGAAAGACAUCCAAAGACAUCUGGAAGAGACGCGGGUGAAAGACCCACAAGAAGGCUGUCCUUGGGAGAGUCAACGGCAGUUGUGUUUCUCAUUUGUACUUUUGCAUCUCUGCUUUUGUCCCAGACUUGACCGGCCCCUUUUGCGCCCUCCUUGCUGUUCCCUACCAGAAAGUACCUUAGACUUUUGGCAAGCUUUGAGGCCUCCAUGGCCCCAUGUAUGGCUGAUCCUGUUUGGCUAGGCAUUUGCCUACAAAGAGAUGGGUAAUAUUAGAAGUUAGAUUGGGAAACCAUUAGUAGGGAUAUCCUUUCUUCUCUCUCUAGGCACACUAAUUCUGUUAAACAUCUAUCACAC